UACGUAGGGGGCAAGCGUUGUCCGGAAUCAUUGGGCGUAAAGCGAGCGUAGGCGGCCCGAUAAGUCUGCUGUGAAAGUCAACGGCUCAACCGUUGAAAGCCGGUGGAUACUGUCGGGCUAGAGUUCGGAAGAGGCAAGUGGAAUUCCUGGUGUAGCGGUGAAAUGCGCAGAUAUCAGGAGGAACACCGGUGGCGAAGGCGGCACUCUGGGCCGGUACUGACGCUGAGGAGCGAAAGCGUGGGGAGCGAACAGG
rnacentral:rRNA from 1 species